rnacentral:rRNA from 1 species
GACGAACGCUGGCGGCGUGCUUAACACAUGCAAGUCGAACGGAAAGGCCCUGCUUUUGUGGGGUGCUCGAGUGGCGAACGGGUGAGUAACACGUGAGUAACCUGCCCUUGACUUUGGGAUAACUUCAGGAAACUGGGGCUAAUACCGGAUAGGAGCUCCUGCUGCAUGGUGGGGGUUGGAAAGUUUCGGCGGUUGGGGAUGGACUCGCGGCUUAUCAGCUUGUUGGUGGGGUAGUGGCUUACCAAGGCUUUGACGGGUAGCCGGCCUGAGAGGGUGACAGGCCACAUUGGGACUGAGAUACGGCAGAGACUCCUAAGGGAGGCAGAAGGGGGGAAUAUUGAAGAAUGGGCGGAAGCCUGAUGAAGCAACGCCGCGUGCGGGAUGACGGCCUUAGGGUUGUAAACCGCUUUCGCCAGUGACGAAGCGUGAGUGAAGGUAAUGGGUAAAGAAGCACAGGCUAACUACGUG